AAUACUGAGUCCAAAUCCGAUGGACAAUCAGGCAUCAGAAUUCAUCGAUAUGUAAACCUGAUCGAAAAAUCCCAACCAGUGGGACUCUUGACCCCGGUACCCAUAAUGUGUGGAACUCAUGAUCAGAGAAUCCUAAUUCUCGAUCACUGAGUCUCAAACAUGUAGGAUUCUACAUCAGCCAUCAGAUCAGAUAAGAACCUCUAAUGUGUGUGACCCCACAGGUUCGAACCUAAGCCG
rnacentral:lncRNA from 1 species